AACGAACGCUGGCGGCGUGGAUAAGACAUGCAAGUCGAACGGGAUUUUUUCCUGUAGCAAUACAGGAAAAAGUCUAGUGGCGAACGGGUGCGUAACACGUGAGCAACCUGCCGUGAAGUGGGGGAUAGCUCGCCGAAAGGCGAAUUAAUACCGCACGUGGCCAAGGAAGACAUCUUCCUGACGCCACAGCCGGGGCAACCUGGCGCUUCUCGAGCGGCUCGCGGCCUAUCAGCUUGUUGGUGAGGUAACGGCUCACCAAGGCUAUGACGGGUAGCUGGUCUGAGAGGACGACCAGCCACACUGGAACUGAGACACGGUCCAGACACCUACGGGUGGCAGCAGUCGAGAAUUUUUCACAAUGGGGGAAACCCUGAUGGAGCGACGCCGCGUGGAGGAUGAAGGUUUUCGGAUUGUAAACUCCUGUCAUUAGAGAACAAGGCGCACGGUUUAACUGGCCGUGCGUUGAUAGUAUCUGAAGAGGAAGAGACGGCUAACUCUGUGCCAGCCGCCGCCGUAA
rnacentral:rRNA from 1 species